rnacentral:misc_RNA from 1 species
AACGCAUAUUGCACUCUCUGGCAUUCCGGAGAGUAUGCCUGUUUGAGGGUCGGUCGAAUAAAAAUCGACGUUUUCGUCGGAAUUGGGUCGUUCUUUAACUUAAGUGACUUAAAAUUGAAUUUUUUUUCGAUGAACUCAUCUAAAUUUGUGGGUUCGUCUUAAAUGUGCAUUGGACGCGACCAUUUUUGUGGUUAUCGUGUUCAUGAUUUCUUCAUAAUUCGACCUCAAAUCAGGUAAGAGUACCCGCUGAACUUAA